GACGAACGCUGGCGGCGUGCUUAACACAUGCAAGUCGAACGGUAAGGCCCUUCGGGGUACACGAGUGGCGAACGGGUGAGUAACACGUGGGUGAUCUGCCCUGCACUUCGGGAUAAGCCUGGGAAACUGGGUCUAAUACCGGAUAGGACCACUGCCUGCAUGGGUGGUGGUGGAAAGCUUUUGCGGUGUGGGAUGGGCCCGCGGCCUAUCAGCUUGUUGGUGGGGUGAUGGCCUACCAAGGCGACGACGGGUAGCCGGCCUGAGAGGGUGACCGGCCACACUGGGACUGAGAUACGGCCCGGACUCCUACGGGAGGCAGCAGUGGGGAAUAUUGCACAAUGGGCGCAAGCCUGAUGCAGCGACGCCGCGUGAGGGAUGACGGCCUUCGGGUUGCAAACCUCUUUCAGCACCGACGAAGCGCAAGUGACGGUAGGUGCAGAAGAAGGACCGGCCAACUACGUGCCAGCCGCCGCGGUAACAC
rnacentral:rRNA from 1 species